CUGCACGGCCUCACCCCCCCCUCCUUCCGCCCCCCGGGCCUCGGAACGGAGCGGGCGAAUCGCUGGGAGGGGCGCGGAGCAGAGCCUGGCCACACCCCCCGGGCCGGCUUUUUCUAGGGCUGCGGCGAGCCACUGGGCGCUGGCUGCUCCCGCUCGCCUCUUGGGGUGCGCUCAGCUCCAGCCCAACUCCAGCCCGACUCCAGCCCGACUCCGGCCCGACUCCGGCCCGACUCCAGCCCGACUCCGGUCCGACUCCAGCCCGACUCCAGCCCGACUCCAGCCCGACUCCGGCCCGACUCCAGUCCGACUCCGGCCCUGCUCCGGCUCUGCUCCAGCCCGGAUCCUGCCCUGCUCCAGCCUGGCUCCUUUUCUCCUCCGCCACGCCUCUCUGUGAGCUCCGCACCCCGACUCCCAGCUCCCAACUUUCGGUCCCUCUGUCGCUCAGCGUCCCGUACCCCCGUGACCUCGCGCCCUCCCAAGACCCUGUGCCCGAUCUUCUACCCCCCUCAACCCCGCCACAGCCCUCCGCCCUUUCUCUCUCGCUCUCCGUCUGUCCGGACGUCAGUCGGUCUGUCUGUCCGCCUCCCCACCCUCCUUUUCCUUCCUCUGUCCCGCGUCUCUGGCUUGUUCGCUAGUUCGACUUGGCGGAGCAGCUUCGCAGGAAAAUCCCAGAAACCAUUGCAAAAAGCUUACAAUGAAAUUUAAGAAGUUCUACGAUUUCGGCGCCAUUUUCGAGUGGAGUGAGAGGUGACUUGCGAUCUAAAAAAAAAAAAAGGAGGGGGAGGGGACUUUUAGGCUGACCUUUCCCGUCCCCCCCCCCCCCAACUAUGAGGCUAGUCACUGCAGACUGUAACAGAUGCGGGGAUAAUUCUGAAAAAAAAAAGUUUUGUGUCGCGCUGAGUGGAGGGUGGGGGUGGAAAGUGUGUUUGGGGGGGUCGGUGUGGGGAGAGGACAGAGUGUGCCCCGAGAACUCAGAAAAUAGUCUGAGAAGAGUGAACGGGGAAGAGCAGAGAGAAAAGUGAGUGGGGGCGGUGGCCUGCUGUCAGCCUCGCCAGGGUGGGGAGCGACUGGUUUUGACAGACUAUAAAUGGACUUUAGGCGACUCUCAUCUGUAAGCAGUAAAGACUGUCCUGGAAAGAAACGUAAAAUUCACUUUACAUUGUCCCUCCCUAACUAAAACUUUUUAAGGUUGUUUAAGCUCUUCCAGUAUGAAACUCGACGUUGGAAAAGUUCGGCUCGAAGGUGCGGAGGACGUGUACACCGUGCGUUUUGGGUGUGGGGGCGCAAGGCAUCUGCAACGUUAAAAGACGAGACGUUCUCAACUGUGAAGAGAGGAAGAGGCGUAGUCUUUGGCUCUUAAAUCAUUUGGCCAAACACGUCGCAGUUCUGAAGGGGGUGGGGCCAGGGCAACUCCAAAGUAUUGAUUCUUUGUCUUUUCUAUUCAGCCAAUGACCCUCUCUAGAAGUGACCAGACGCCUCUUUGUGUUCUCCUUUCGGCGACCAUCAACGAUUUUUUUCUCCAUUAUUCCGCCGUGUCCAUGUAAAAAUAAUUUGUAAUAUAGCCAAGACAAGAUGGAAUUUAGAGACUCCAACUUAAGGAGUAGAGCUAUUAUUAUUAAUGGCUUUAUUUAUCAUGACCUUAUGGCUUUAUUAUUAGUGCAUUUGUUAGCAUUGGAUCACAAUCUGUUGUGUUAGGCAUUUUGUACUUAGUUUAAUUACAUACUCUGUAUAUUUAAUUAAUCAAUUAGUUAAUAGGACCCAGCAUUCAUUGUACUAGUUUUGAAUAACGGACAUAAUUUUAAAUGAAAAUACAGGAAGUUUGGUGAGGUUCAAUCUCUGUUUAUGUAUACAGAAUGUAUUUUUACUUUCAAAGGCAGUAUAGUUUUAUUGUUUUAAUUAUUAGGCCUGUGGCUAAGGACCGACGGAUUUUUUUUGUGUGUGUGCUUUCUUGAAUGUUUUGUUUAAACAAAGGGAAAUGAAUGAAUGUAACUUACUGCUCAUGUGUCCAUUUUGAGAGUCAAGAACGGGAGCGUGCACAGUGCCGGCCAUUUCAAGACAUGAGUUUCUGUGGAGUUGCUCGAGAAGGAACCAUUUGACAUCAAGUAUUUAAAGUUGAUUUGUGGUUUGAUAAGUGACAUUGACAAAUGUAAAGUAUUUGUGAAUAAGUUUGAAUAACCUGCAAUGUAUGAAAACAUCUAGGGGUUUCAUCUAUAGAAUAUUCUCAUGCUUAAAAUCAACUAA